AGGAUAAACGCUGGCGGCGUGCAUUAGACAUGCAAGUCGAACGGACUUCUCGGGGCUUGCUCUGAGAAGUUAGUGGCGGACGGCUGAGUAACGCGUAGGUGACCUACCCCGAAGUGGGGAAUAACUGCCCGAAAGGGUGGCUAAUACCGCAUGCGAUCGUAUGUUCAUUCGUACGAUCAAAGCAGCAAUGCGCUUCGGGAGGGCCUGCGUCCGAUUAGCUCGUUGGUGGGUAAUGGCUCACCAAGGCGACGAUCGGUAGGUGGUCUGAGAGGACGAUCACCCAGACUGGGACUGAGACACGGCCCAGACUCCGUACGGGAGCAGCAGUCGGGAAUUUUGCUCAAGUGGGCGC
rnacentral:rRNA from 1 species